CUCCGGUUGAUCCUGCCGGACCCGACUGCUAUCAGAGUGGGACUAAGCCAUGCGAGUCGACGUAGCAAUGCGUGGCGAACGGCUCAGUAACACGUAGUCAACAUGCCCAGGGGACGUGGAUAACCUCGGGAAACUGAGAAUAAACCACGAUAGGUCAUGAUUUCUGGAAUGGAUCAUGGCUCAAAUCUACAUGGCCCCUGGAUUGGACUGCGGCCGAUCAGGCAGUUGGUGAGGUAAAGGCCCACCAAACCUAUAACCGGUACGGGCUCUGAGAGGAGAAGCCCGGAGAUGGGCACUGAGACAAGGGCCCAGGCCCUAUGGGGCGCAGCAGGCGCGAAACCUCUGCAAUAGGCGAAAGCCUGACAGGGUUACUCUGAGUGAUUUCCGCUAAGGGGAUCUUUUGGCACCUCUAAAAAUGGUGCAGAAUAAGGGGUGGGCAAGUCUGGUGUCAGCCGCCGCGGUAAUACCAGCACCCCGAGUGGUCGGGACGAUUAUUGGGCCUAAAGCAUCCGUAGCCGGUUCUGCAAGUCUUCCGUUAAAUCCAGCCGCUCAACGGAUGGGCCGCGGAGGAUACUACAGGACUAGGAGGCGGGAGAGGCAAGCGGUACUCAGUGGGUAGGGGUAAAAUCCUUUGAUCCAUUGAAGACCACCAGUGGCGAAGGCGGCUUGCCAGAACGCGCUCGACGGUGAGGGAUGAAAGCUGGGGGAGCAAACCGGAUUAGAUACCCGGGUAGUCCCAGCUGUAAACGAUGCAGACUCGGUGAUGGGCUAGCCUUGUGCCAGCCCAGUGCCGCAGGGAAGCCGUUAAGUCUGCCGCCUGGGGAGUACGGUCGCAAGACUGAAACUUAAAGGAAUUGGCGGGGGAGCA
rnacentral:rRNA from 1 species